UCACUCUAGCGAGACUGCCGGUAAUAAACCGGAGGAAGGUGGGGAUGACGUCAAUCAUCAUGCCCCUUAUGACCUGGGCUACACACGUGCUACAAUGGCUGGUACAACGAGUCGCGAGUCGGUGACGGCAAGCUAAUCUCUUAAAGCCAGUCUCAGUUCGGAUUGUAGGCUGCAACUCGCCUACAUGAAGUCGGAAUCGCUAGUAAUCGCGGAUCAGCACGCCGCGGUGAAUACGUUCCCGGGCCUUGUACACACCGCCCGUCACACCACGAGAGUUUGUAACACCCGAAGUCGGUGAGGUAACCAUUUGGAGCCAGCCGCCUAAGGUGGGAUAGAUGAUUGGGGUGAAGUCGUAACAAGGUAACCGUAGA
rnacentral:rRNA from 1 species